rnacentral:tRNA from 1 species
AGUUCAGUGGUAGAACAUCACCUUGCCAAGGUGGGGGUCGCGGGUUCGAACCCCGUGCGGA